rnacentral:lncRNA from 1 species
CGAGUGUGCGGGCGCCGGGCGCUAGAGGCCCGGCCCGGGGUGGCGGUCUCCGCCCGUCUAUAGUCUCUGAGCCAGCCCCUUCCUUCCCGGGCGCCGGGUCCCCGCCCACAGGCCCACCUGCAGGGCCCCGUGCUCGAAAUAACGCCCAGCUCGUUGGCUUUUUUUUUUUUUUUUCUUUUCCUGGCUCUUGGUAAGUGGCGCAGUGAAUGUUGAAUUGAAUCAAGCACUGCCUUUUCCGACCCACCCCUCCCCGCUUGCUUCCCUGCCCGCCCUGUGUGAUCUAACUGCAAGCCCUUUCCCUUAAGAGUUGGAGCCUGUUUGUCCAACCUUGUGAUAAUUUCCUUGUGUCUCUUAGACAUCUUCUCAAGAUUAUGCUAAGAGAAAUGACUGCACCCUUUUCCUGAGCUAUGGCAGUCAGACCUGGCAGUGGUAACUACUCUACAGAACUCCCAAGCCUGGCAAGGAUGGUGCAGAUAUUGCCAGAUUAUGGCUUUGUCCCCACCCAGCACUGAUGAUAUUAUGACAGACCUAUACUCAAGAAGUGAUAAUGGAAGUUCUUCAACUGAGCAAGAAAUGAUAUUAACAGAAAACUUGGAUCUUCAGGAGCAAAUGAAGAACAUCAGAAAUACAAACGGAGUCUCUCUCUCUGUGUGCUGAGUCACCUGGAACUGGGGGCAUGGUGAUGCAAGCACCCUUCUAGCCACCACUACUGUUACUGCAGUGGGUCAGACCUGAAGCCAUAGAAACAGCUGCUGAGAAGAGAUGACUAAAAGCUGAAAAGUGAAGAAUUAACACUGAUUUCUUGGCAGAAGCAGAAGCUUCAGGACUCCUGAAUUGAGGGAAUGAUCUAAAUUCCAAGGAUUAUCUCUCAGUGAGAACAACAACUUUCAUUGUUAGAGAGAGGAGAGAGAGAGAAGCCUUGUUGGUUGACGUCACUUGGUUCAUGAAGCCUUCGCCUAGAAGUGAAGCUGCUGAACAAACCUUGAGAAGAAUCAUCUCCUGCUUCAAUCUGCUGCUGGAUAGGAACUAAUCAGAGAGAGAGAGGCGGAAGACGGAGAAGGAGGGAGUCGAAGGCUUUCCCGAUCACAAAUCUCACCUCCACUACAACUCUCUUUAUACUUUUCUUGCAGAAAUAAUAAUAGAAAUAAGGAGGUGGUGGGGUUUCCAAAAAUCUUAACCUUCAACCAUCUGGGGAAAAGGCAAAAAUCCCAUCUACCGCAACUCUCAGUUCGAGAGUAAAAACUGCAGUGUAAAGGAGCAGAUGUUUUGCCAAACAUCCUGAUGUGUUGCUUUUUCUUAUGGGAGUGCAUAACUGUUCCUUCUGAUGCAUCAACUUGACAGCUGGUUGAUUUCAUGGAGCUGCUAAGAAGCCAUUAGUGGUGUCAUUGAAUUGAAACAGAACAGUCAUUCCCAGCUUGAACUGCAAUUGUUAAUGUCUUUGUUGCUACUUUUGUGUUACUAUACAAGAUGUAGGAUAUCACAGUUGCAUGAAAGUUCAGGAUUUCUGUCUUAUCUCCUUGAAUUAGUGAAAGUAUAUUUUGGAACUUGAUUACUUUUAGGUUUAAAGGUUUCUCAGAGAAGGGAUCUUAAGUUGUAGUUUCUGAGUAGAACUACCAAAAGAAGAAAUAUGAUUUAGCACAAAGUAAUAUGGUGAUUUUGACCCUUAAGAGGAAUUAUGUCAUCAAGUUUUAGUGAUUAUUAAUAUAUUUGAUUUCCUGGGGGAUUAAUUAAGUUACCUAGUUAGGUAUUUUAAGAGUUUUUUUGGUUACAUAAAAUUAAGUAUUUUGUACCAU